UACGUAGGGUGCGAGCGUUAAUCGGAAUUACUGGGCGUAAAGCGUGCGCAGGCGGUUAUGCAAGCCAGAUGUGAAAUCCCCGGGCUCAACCUGGGAAUGGCAUUUGGGACUGCAUAGCUAGAGUAUGGCAGAGGAGACUAGAAUUCCUGGUGUAGCAGUGAAAUGCGUAGAUAUCAGGAGGAAUACCGAUGGCGAAGGCAGGUCUCUGGGUUAAUACUGACGCUCAUGCACGAAAGCGUGGGGAGCAAACAGG
rnacentral:rRNA from 1 species